CAAUGGCAUGUCCAAACCACCUCGGUUACGUUACAGCCCUCAGGCUGCAAUGCUUUGAGCAGCUGCUUCCUAGCAUUACCUAGAAAGUCCAGAUCGUUAGGGAUCUUCAUUCUGUGCCUAAAAUAUGUAAGACUUACAAAUCAUU